UUCCAUAUUCUUCCACCUCUCUUCUUCCCUCAUAUGACAAACAUGCCAAACUUUUCAUCAGUUUUCUCUUUUCCCCAAGCUGCCAACCCACACUGCCACACAUACUCUUUCUAAGUCAACAAUGGCAGAAAUUUGCCCCGCAAUCAUCAUUAUUUCACCUCCAUUUUGUUUCCCUAAAACCAUGUCUAAGUACGAAAAAGGCUUGGUAACCAACGGUUUGAGUCCAAAAAAGACUCAAACACCCAAAAUAAAACACAAUGGUACCAUUAUAACCAGACAUUGGUAUCAAAUUGUUAUCAGAACUGGUACCAAGGUAUCAAUAUUUUUGGAGAAUGGUACCAUUAUAACCUAGCAUUGGUACCAAGCAAAUGUCAGCCACAUGCGCGUGAAAUUUUCCAACGCAUAAAAUAACCAAAUUACCCUCGUUUGAGUCCCCUUAAGAGACUCAAACGGUUGGUUGCCAAGACAAGCUCGUCUAAGUACCCAGUAAAAUGUUAGCUUUGAAAAACUCAACCAAAAAACAAAACAAACUUCACCUCUCAAUUACCUUCUCUCAGCAUCACCACCUAUCUCACCAGGGCACCACCUCGGUGCGCCAACCACCAGAACUUAGCCAGCGACGCGCCAUUAUACCCCGCAGCCCGACGCUCUCUGUUUCUCUCUCCCCUCUGUUUUGGCCUUCUCCCCCACACUCCACAGCACCACCUGCCAGGCUGCCACAUUUCGAGCCACCGCAUUACCACAGUUCCCCUUCCACCGCCUUCAGUUGACCACCUGCACCACCACCAGCGCCCUGCAGCAGCCUGUCGCCCCUGUUUCCCCUCUCCUCUUUCUCUCGCGCUGCUCGUCUUGCUGGCUGCUCCCGCCGGAGCUCCAGCGCUCGAAGUGCCGGCCUCGUCGCACUCCAACCUCGCUGCCCAGCUCACCGGAGUUCGAACUCCGCCCUGUGACGCUUGUCUUUGCUGAUCCAAGUGAGCAGAGAUCAAAAAGGAUAAAGAAUAUUACAAGCCUCCCCAUCUAUCAAGGUUGUUAAGUAGGAAUCCAGGUAACGUCUACUUCUAACACUCGCACUCCCCUUUCAACUAUAUAUGUUUUAUGAUACUUUAUACGAUUUUUCUGCUCUGUUACUUAUGGUGUGCGGCAUAUAAAAUAUUGCUUUAUGUAAAUGAUGUUUAUAAAUGAUUUGAUUCUAUGAAAUAUGAUGACUUUGAUUUUACGGAAAUACGAUUACGAUUACGUUUAAUAUUUACGAUUACGAUAUGUAAUGUAAUUAUGAUACGUAAAAGAAAUAAAACAUAAUAAAGUUAAGUGAGAGUGUAUUAUGUUAUGUCGGGUCGUGCACGUACCUUAUGGCGGCAACACCGUCUUCUGAUGGGGGACAACAUCGUAGGUGGCACCCGCAUUAUGGCAUCAUGCCAUCUUCUAAUGGGGGACAAUGUACUCGAUGACUCUGUGAUAAGUGCGUUUCUAACGCACUUUAUGAGCUCCUUUAGCUUGGUUUGAUCCUCUUUAUUCCUUAUUUUGUUCUCUAUUUCUUUUCAGUUGAUCAUUGUUGAUCACUGUGGCAUUUUGCUAGAUUUUCGGUCAAUUUUGACUGAAUUUCUAGUACAUUUGCUUUCACCGUGGUAUCCUGUGCUUUGAUGGCAGGUGUGACCUUUUCUGAGGUCAAGAGUUGGGAGACACGACAUAAGGCGGGAGUUUUGAGGAGCUUGCACGCGCAAAAAUGGAAGAAAGAAAGUGUGAGUUGAGAGCUUUGUGCGUCCGCACAAUCUUAGAAGUGCCCGCACUCAUUGGUGCCCCCGCACCACUCUGCAAAUUGAUUGCCUAAAAAUCAGUAAACCAGGUGCGCCCGCACCAUCCUGCGGUUUUUGGACCCUAGUAAACAACUUUGGUGCGCCCGCACCACUUACUCCCGUCAGAAAUUUUUUAAGGCUCAAGCCUAAUUAAAACAAGGAGUUGAUUAGUUUUAUUCUUAUGGUUUAUUCUAUAGAUUAGAGAGGAUAUUAGGAUUCUUAUUAGAGAGAAAAACACUUUUUUUAUUCUUAGAUUUGAGAUCCAUAUAUUAAAGUUGUUGAUUUUCUACACUUUCAAGGUAACUUUCAUUAAUUUAAUUUCAAAAUUUCCAGUUUUUAUUC